GACGUAGGAGGCGAGCGUUGUCCGGAUUCAUUGGGCGUAAAGAGCGCGCAGGCGGCUUGGUAAGUCGGAUGUGAAAUCCCGAGGCUCAACCUCGGGUCUGCAUCCGAUACUGCCCGGCUAGAGGUAGGUAGGGGAGAUCGGAAUUCCUGGUGUAGCGGUGAAAUGCGUAGAUAUCGAGAGGAACACCUGCGGCGAAGGCGGGUUGCUGGGCUGACACUGACGCUGAUGCGCGAAAGCCAGGGGAGCGAACGGG
rnacentral:rRNA from 1 species